UUUCCGCCAGAGAACUACAAGUGAAAAACUUGAAACUCAAAGGACUUGACGGUGUCCCAUACCGACCUAGAGGAGCCUGUCCUAUAAUCGAUACUCCCCGCUCCACCCAACCCCAACUAGCAUCCCUCAGCCUAUAUACCGCCGUCGAUCAGCCUACCCUAUGAAAGUCCAAUAGUAGACACAAUAGCCCUAUCGCUAAUACGUCAGGUCAAGGUGUAGCAAAUGUUGUGGAAGAGAUUGGCUACAUUUUUUAUUAUAAAAAAUACGAAAAAUACUAUGAAACAGUAUAUGAAGGUGAAUUUAGUAGUAAAAUAAACAAGAGUGUUUAUUUUAACAACGCUCUGGGACGCGUACACACCGCCC
rnacentral:rRNA from 1 species